rnacentral:rRNA from 1 species
AUUGAACGCUGGCGGCAUGCUUUACACAUGCAAGUCGAACGGUAACAGGCCGCAAGGUGCUGACGAGUGGCGAACGGGUGAGUAAUGCAUCGGAACGUGCCCGAGAGUGGGGGAUAACGAGGCGAAAGCUUUGCUAAUACCGCAUACGAUCUCAGGAUGAAAGCAGGGGACCGCAAGGCCUUGCGCUCACGGAGCGGCCGAUGGCAGAUUAGGUAGUUGGUGGGAUAAAAGCUUACCAAGCCGACGAUCUGUAGCUGGUCUGAGAGGACGACCAGCCACACUGGGACUGAGACACGGCCCAGACUCCUACGGGAGGCAGCAGUGGGGAAUUUUGGACAAUGGGCGAAAGCCUGAUCCAGCAAUGCCGCGUGCAGGAUGAAGGCCUUCGGGUUGUAAACUGCUUUUGUACGGAACGAAAAGCCCUGGGUUAAUACCCUGGGGUCAUGACGGUACCGUAAGAAUAAGCACCGGCUAACUACGUGCCAGCCGCCGCGGUAAAAC